GACGAACGCUGGCGGCGUGCCUAAUACAUGCAAGUCGAGCGGACUAUUCCUUCGGGAAUGGUUAGCGGCGGACGGGUGAGUAACACGUAGGAAACCUGCCUGUAAGACUGGGAUAACUACCGGAAACGGUAGCUACGCCCGGAUAACUGGUUUCUUCACCUGAAGAGAUCAUGAAACACGCAGCAAUCUGUGGCUUACAGAUGGGCCUGCGGCGCAUUAGCUAGUUGGUAGGGUAACGGCCUACCAAGGCGACGAUGCGUAGCCGACCUGAGAGGGUGAUUGGCCACACUGGGACUGAGACACGGCCCAGACUCCUACGGGAGGCAGCAGUAGGGAAUCUUCCGCAAUGGACGCAAGUCUGACGGAGCAACGCCGCGUGAGUGAUGAAGGUUUUCGGAUCGUAAAGCUCUGUUGCCAGGGAAGAACGCCCAGGAGAGUAACUGCUCCUGGGGUGACGGUACCUGAGAAGAAAGCCCCGGCUAACUACGUGCCAGCCGCCGCAGUAAGAC
rnacentral:rRNA from 1 species